UGCAUGGAGCAUUCGUAUAAUUUGUGAUUUUAAAGCUUCCUGUGUAAUAGCUUUGCCAAAAUAUUAAAAUUGAGAAUCUCUCAUGUUGUUCACAAUACAGGGCGAAACAGAGAGGAGUGGUAUUCACUAAAGUGUUAAGUUUUUUUUAAAAUUUUAGGCAAAAAUAGCCAAAUUGGAAUAUUUAUCUGUCAACUGUGUUUUUCAGUUAUAUUUAAAAAAAUAAAUAAAUGCAUUACUUUUGAAUUCUCCGCAAUAGUCAUGUGACAAGAUCUAGUAUUUAAUGGCAGAAUUGCAGGAAAUUAUGGUACAGCUAUAAUUCUUUUCCCAAAAUAGAUUUAACUUGCACUGGUUUAGAAUACCCACUUUAUCUUUUUUUCAGAGAUUUUAUUUGACAAUGCCCACAGUUGUUAAGGUGAUAAUAAAGAAAAACGUUUGAGUCCUGUUCAAUUGUUCUGAGAAAAUAAAAAAUACGUUUUAUUUCUACAAAGCCAACAAACAUUAAAGGACCACUAUAGUGCCAGGAAAACAUACUAAUUUUCCUGGCACUAUAGUGCCCUGAGGGUGCCCCCACCCUCAGGGUCCCUCCCCACGCCAGGCUCUAGGGGGAGGAAGGGGUUAAACUUACCUCUUUCUCCAGCGCCGGGCGGGGAGCUCUCCACCUCCUCUCCUCCUCGGCUGAAUGCGCAUACGCGGCAUUCAGCCAGUCCAUAGGAAAGCAUUCACAAUGCUUUCCUAUGGACGCUGGCGUCUUCUCACUGUGAAAAUCACAGUGAGAAGCGCGGAAGCGCCUCUAGCGGCUGUCAAUGAGACAGCCACUAGAGGCUGGAUUAACCCAUAGGUAAACAUAGCAAUUUCUCUGAAACUGCUAUGUUUACAGAAAAAAGGCUUAAUCC